rnacentral:rRNA from 1 species
ACGGUGGCACAGAAUCGGAGGCCCCGACUGUUUACUAAAAACACAGCUCAGUGCAAUCAUAAAAAUGAUAGUAUACUGAGUGAGAUUUGCCCGAUGCCAUUAAUAUAAGAGCGGUCAUUACAUAAAAGUGACUUAUCGAAAAUCUGGUUAAUAGCGGUCUUAACUAUGAGGAUCCUAAGGUAGCAAAAUCAGUUGGCCAUUAAAUGUGGUCCGGUAUCAAUAAUUUAACGAUGGUCUCACUGUCUCUACAACUUGCUCAGUGAAAUUGAAUUACGCGUGCAGAUGCGCGUUACUUACAGGGGGACGGGAAGACCCUAUGCAGCUUCUACUG